rnacentral:rRNA from 1 species
GAUCAUGGCUCAGGAUGAACGCUAGCGGCAGGCUUAAUACAUGCAAGUCGAGGGGCAGCGCAGUGUAGCAAUACAUGGGCGGCGACCGGCAAACGGGUGCGGAACACGUACAGAACCUUCCUUCGAGCGGGGAAUAGCCCAGAGAAAUUUGGAUUAAUACCCCAUAGUAUAUUAGAGUGGCAUCACUUUGAUAUUAAAGAUUUAUCACUUGAAGAUGGCUGUGCGGCUGAUUAGGUAGUUGGCGGGGUAACGGCCCACCAAGCCUGCGAUCAGUAACUGGUGUGAGAGCACGACCAGUCACACGGGCACUGAGACACGGGCCCGACUCCUACGGGAGGCAGCAGUAAGGAAUAUUGGUCAAUGGACGAAAGUCUGAACCAGCCAUGCCGCGUGGAGGAUGAAGGUCCUCUGGAUUGUAAACUUCUUUUAUAUGGGACGAAAAAAGGGUUUUCUAACUCGUCUGACGGUACCAUAUGAAUAAGCACCGGCUAACUCCGUGCCAGCAGCCGCGGUAAUACGGAGGGUGCAAGCGUUAUCCGGAUUCACU